rnacentral:rRNA from 1 species
GACGAACGCUGGCGGCGUGCUUAACACAUGCAAGUCGAACGGAAAGGCCCUGCUUUUGUGGGGUGCUCGAGUGGCGAACGGGUGAGUAACACGUGAGUAACCUGCCCUUGACUUUGGGAUAACUUCAGGAAACUGGGGCUAAUACCGGAUAGGAGCUCCUGCUGCAUGGUGGGGGUUGGAAAGUUUCGGCGGGUGGGGAUGGACUCGCGGCUUAUCAGCUUGUUGGUGGGGUAGUGGCUUACCAAGGCUGUGACGGGUAGCCGGCCUGAGAGGGUGACCGGCCACAUUGGGACUGAGAUACGGCCCAGACUCCUACGGGAGGCAGCAGUGGGGAAUAUUGCACAAUGGGCGGAAGCCUGAUGCAGCAACGCCGCGUGCGGGAUGACGGCCUUCGGGUUGUAAACCGCUUUCGCCUGUGACGAAGCGGGAGUGACGGUAAUGGGUAAAGAAGCACCGGCUAACUACGUG